rnacentral:rRNA from 1 species
AUUGAACGCUGGCGGCAGGCCUAACACAUGCAAGUCGAGCGGGGUUUUCGGACCUAGCGGCGGACGGGUGAGUAAUGCGUAGGAAGCUACCCGAUAGAGGGGGAUACCAGUUGGAAACGACUGUUAAUACCGCAUAACGUCUACGGACCAAAGUGUGGGACCUUCGGGCCACAUGCUAUCGGAUGUGCCUACGUGGGAUUAGCUAGUUGGUGAGGUAAUGGCUCACCAAGGCGACGAUCCCUAGCUGGUUUGAGAGGAUGAUCAGCCACACUGGAACUGGGACACGGUCCAGACUCCUACGGGAGGCAGCAGUGGGGAAUAUUGGACAAUGGGCGCAAGCCUGAUCCAGCCAUGCCGCGUGUGUGAAGAAGGCCUUCGGGUUGUAAAGCACUUUCAGUAGGGAGGAAGCGUUGUGUGUUAAUAGUACACAGCGUUGACGUUACCUACAGAAGAAGCACCGGCUAACUCUGUGCCAGCCGCCGCAGUAAGAC